AUUGAACGCUGGCGGCAGGCCUAACACGUGCAAGUCGAACGGUAACAGGAAGAAGCUUGCUUCUUUGCUGACGAGUGGCGGACGGGUGAGUAAUGUCUGGGAAACUGCCUGAUGGAGGGGGAUAACUACUGGAAACGGUAGCUAAUACCGCAUAACGUCGCAAGACCAAAGAUGGGGACCUUCGGGCCUCUUGCCAUCGGAUGUGCCCAGAUGGGAUUAGCUAGUAGGUGGGGUAACGGCUCACCUAGGCGACGAUCCCUAGCUGGUCUGAGAGGAUGACCAGCCACACUGGAACUGAGACACGGUCCAGACUCAUACGGGAGGCAGCAGUGGGGAAUAUUGCACAAUGGGCGCAAGCCUGAUGCAGCCAUGCCGCGUGUAUGAAGAAGGCCAUCGGGUUGUAAAGUACUAUCAGCGGGGAGGAAGGGAGUAAAGUUAAUACCUUUGCUAAUUGACGUUACCCGCAGAAGAAGCACCGGCUAACUCCGUG
rnacentral:rRNA from 1 species